GGAGCAAUUGUCAAACAAGUGAUGGUCUCAUGAGCAUCUGUACAAACAAUUGUAUGCAUAUAAAAACUUUAGGACCACAUGGGCAGUGCAUCGUUCAGGAAAGAGGCACAAAUGAACUCCCAGGCAUGAAAGUAAAGGUUCAACUCAACCCCAAGACAAUAACGAAGGAACUGGUUGGAGUUGGAGGCCUCAGGAGUGUUCUCUGGUCAGACGAAACAAAAAGAUGUAACUGUUUGGCCGUAAUGAUCAGCGCUACGUAUGGAGGAAACGGGGGUCUUUCUGCUCAACCACUAAUACGAUUCACUGGAAAUCAAGGG
ensembl:lncRNA